rnacentral:rRNA from 1 species
GACGUAGGGUGCGAGCGUUGUCCGGAUUUAUUGGGCGUAAAGAGCUCGUAGGCGGCUCGUCGCGUCGACCGUGAAACCCCGCAGCUUAACUGCGGGCCUGCGGUUGAUACGGGCGGGCUAGAGUUCGGUAGGGGAGACUGGAAUUCCUGGUGUAGCGGUGAAAUGCGCAGAUAUCAGGAAGAACACCCGUGGCGAAGGCGGUUCUCUGGGACGGUACUGACGCUGAGACGCGAAAGCGUGGGGAGCGAACAGG